rnacentral:rRNA from 1 species
AUGCAACUUCGGUGCGCAUCUGCAACAGAGAUGCUGAGUGAAUCACCGCCUGCGCUGCAUCGCCGGCUCCUUGGCCCAAGCCGGCGCUCACGUAUAGGCGGCCGUGCCCCCUCGUUCCCCAUGUGGUCACCGCCGCUCGCAGCAUUUCAGCCGCGUGCUUGCAAAACACCAUCGGUGGUUUGCAGGGGCGCUGCAGAACGUCGGUGUUGCAUGAGCAGGACUGCAACAACGCGAGGCGGUGACGGCGCCGGUCUAAGGCGACAGGCGCCGUCGCCUGCUGGUGUGUGUUGUGGUGUUCUAGUGGAAGAAGAAACAGAGGAAAAGAAUGAGUGGCUCACGACUUGUGGAGAAGAGAUAAGGCCAAGGGAGAGGAAGGAAUAA